CACAACCUCGAUUUCAGUUUAUUGUGAUGAACCGGGGUAAUUCAGGUUCCUCCUUUACUCAACUGAUGUGUUCGUUUUGAAUUGUGUUAUAUAAUUUCAGUUCCAGUAUUACCUUUAAUUUUCAGUUGUUGUAUUCAUUGAAUUUUUAAUGCUAAUUGAGAAAAAAAGGCAGUGCACUGGCUUUAGGAGGACUCUGGCAUUAAUUGAAUUUGUUGGACUAAGGAACUUUCUUAUGUUUGUGAAAUCGGAUGAUUUGGCGGAAAAUAUGCUGGAAGAUUUUGAGGAUGAUAUCCAGGUUCCAUAUCUUUUAUACCGUAAUGUAUCUCAAGAAGUUAAUGGCAUUUGGUUCUACAAUGCACAAGAAUGUGAAGAGGUUGCAAAUCAUUUCAGCAGGUACCACUUUCUCAUUAUGCUAAACAACAAAUAAAUGUCUGUGACCAAUAUCCUUGAAGUUUAGAGAAUGAACCAUAUACUGGUAAAUUUUAUAAAUACAUAUAAUUUUGGUAAAGGUAACUAUGGGGGAUUAUCCCUUUAAAUAAGGAGUUUAAUGUUCUAUUUUUUGCGUGUUUGGUGGUUUUUUUUUUUUUUGCUUAUCACCUUAUGCGAAGAACAUAGGCAGACCAAGAGAUUGCAAGAAAAAAAAAUUCACAAAAAUCGCGAAGUGACAUUCAGGUCCAAGAAAUUUAGACUCCAUGUGUUCAUCAUCGACGAAACCAAAGUUGUUACCACCUGUUCUGUAUAUGAAUUAAUCUGCCAAGUCCACCGAUGUGGAGGAUCGCCAGAGACUGAAGUAGGAGAGGAGGCCUUGGUGUCUCCACGCUCCAUAGGUGGAGUCGGCAAUCAUAUCAGCAUUCAGUUAGUUGGUAACACUAUUAGAUUAUUAGAUUUGAAAUUUAGAAAUGAAUUGUUACUUGAAUUUGGUGUAGAUUUUUACUGGAAGAAUGAGCACCGCCUGAUGUGCACCUCGGAGGUCUGUACUGAUAUGAGAAAACUUAAAGUAUUUAGACAGCGAUUGGGGAUUCAAUCGUCUGGUAAAAUUAUUUAAAAAAAAACUGGAUUCACUUCAUUUGACCUUAUGUUUUGUUCGGAUCUUCAAACACCGUCUUUUCUAAUUGUUUUGUAUAUGUUUUAUAAGCAAUGAGUUCCUAACUUGACUAGAUUAUGUCCCAGGAAUAAGUUUUAUGCCGUUGAGCCUUCCGAGGUAUCGAAAUUUUGUUAAUUUCAUAUUGUCUUUUACAAUGCAGGCUUGCUCUUGAUUUAGCCAAUCAUCUAGAAAGUUUCAAGAAUUAGGGUCAAGCUUUAAAUCCUCAAUAUAUUAGCUUCAAUUUAAGGAGAUUGAGGGCUCUGAGGAAAUUAUUUGAAGCUGAGGUUGUCCUACUUGCAAUGGGCUUCCUUGGCCCCAAGUCGGUUAGUUCCCAGAGUUUCCUUGUUUGUAAUUUCAACAAAGAUGUUGAAUUCUUGAAGUUAUCCUGAAUAACACAAACAUUUAUUAGCUCUUGAUUAAUGUGAAAGUGAUGGCCUGAUAGGUUACUAAAUUUGUCAAUUGAAUUCAAAUUUUCGCUAUGUUUCUGUAAUUUAACUUUUGAAUCUGGUCAAUUUUCUUUUAGAAAUAUGGUUAGCUAUCUAUUGUUUCAAGACAUGAAAUGAAGACCUUUGGUGAUGAUUAUCUGACUUCUUGCUGUGUUUUUGGUGAAUUAGCUCCUAUUGCUGAAUUCUGCUGCAAAACACCUUGCUGGAGGAUUUUGUCUUACCUUUUGAAUUUAGCCUUUCCAUCAAUGGAGCAUCAAUAUUAUGACAGUAUUUUAACUAUUUCUUCCUACUUUUGCUCACUUGAUUAGAGUGACACUGGAUAAAGGAGAAGAGAUAUCGUAUUGAACAAAAGCUUCCCAGAAGAAUGUUGCAGCUUCAAAAUGGGGUUGAUAUUAAUCGAUCUGAAAGGGCAAUUAGCAAAGACGAGGGCAGCAAUACAGAUGAAGACUGUGAAACUUGAGGGGGUUUAGACUUGAGAGAACAUCAACGCUCCUUACUUCUCCACAUAUAAUUGGGGUUUUGCAAAUUAUUAAUCUUAGUAAUUUAUGUGAUGUUAAGAUUGCGUCUCCGUUUCUAUAGCAUGGGAUUCUAUAGAAUAAUGUGUUAAUAUGAAGAAGUUGCAGCUGACA